rnacentral:rRNA from 1 species
CCUACGGGAGGCAGCAGUGGGGAAUAUUGGACAAUGGGGGCAACCCUGAUCCAGCAAUGCCGCGUGUGUGAUGAAGGCCUUAGGGUUGUAAAGCACUUUCACUGGUGAAGAUGAUGACGGUAACCAGAGAAGAAGCCCCGGCUAACUUCGUGCCAGCAGCCGCGGUAAUAC